rnacentral:rRNA from 1 species
GCGUAAGCGCACGCAGGCGGUCUGUCAAGUCGGAUGUGAAAUCCCCGGGCUCAACCUGGGAACUGCAUUCGAAACUGGCAGGCUAGAGUCUUGUAGAGGGGGGUAGAAUUCCAGGUGUAGCGGUGAAAUGCGUAGAGAUCUGGAGGAAUACCGGUGGCGAAGGCGGCCCCCUGGACAAAGACUGACGCUCAGGUGCGAAAGCGUGGGGAGCAAACAGGAUUAGAUACCCUGGUAGUCCACGCCGUAAACGAUGUCGACUUGGAGGUUGUGCCCUUGAGGCGUGGCUUCCGGAGCUAACGCGUUAAGUCGACCGCCUGGGGAGUACGGCCGCAAGGUUAAAACUCAAAUGAAUUGACGGGGGCCCGCACAAGCGGUGGAGCAUGUGGUUUAAUUCGAUGCAACGCGAAGAACCUUACCUACUCUUGACAUCCAGAGAACUUUCCAGAGAUGCAUUGGUGCCUUCGGGAACUCUGAGACAGGUGCUGCAUGGCUGUCGUCAGCUCGUGUUGUGAAAUGUUGGGUUAAGUCCCGCAACGAGCGCAACCCUUAUCCUUUGUUGCCAGCGGUUAGGCCGGGAACUCCCAGGAGACUGCCAGUGAUAAACU